rnacentral:rRNA from 1 species
UUCCGGUUGAUCCCGCCGGAGGCCAUUGCUAUGGGGGUCCGACUAAGCCAUGCGAGUCAUGGGGUCCCUUCGGGGACACCGGCGGACGGCUCAGUAACACGUCGGUAACCUACCCUCGGGAGGGGGAUAACCCCGGGAAACUGGGGCUAAUCCCCCAUAGGCCUGGGGUACUGGAAGGUCCCCAGGCCGAAAGGGGCUCUGCCCGCCCGAGGAUGGGCCGGCGGCCGAUUAGGUAGUUGGUGGGGUAACGGCCCACCAAGCCGAAGAUCGGUACGGGCCAUGAGAGUGGGAGCCCGGAGAUGGACACUGAGACACGGGUCCAGGCCCUACGGGGCGCAGCAGACGCGAAACCUCCGCAAUGCGGGCAACCGCGACGGGGGGACCCCCAGUGCCGUGGCAAAGCCACGGCUUUUCCGGAGUGUAAAAAGCUCCGGGAAUAAGGGCUGGGCAAGGCCGGUGGCAGCCGCCGCGGUAAUACCGGCGGCCCAAGUGGUGGCCGCUAUUAUUGGGCCUAAAGCGUCCGUAGCCGGGCCCGUAAGUCCCUGGCGAAAUCCCACGGCUCAACCGUGGGGCUUGCUGGGGAUACUGCGGGCCUUGGGACCGGGAGAGGCGGGGGGUACCCCUGGGGUAGGGGUGAAAUCCUAUAAUCCCAGGGGGACCGCCAGUGGCGAAGGCGCCCCGCUGGAACGGGUCCGACGGUGAGGGACGAAGGCCAGGGGAGCGAACCGGAUUAGAUACCCGGGUAGUCCUGGCUGUAAAGGAUGCGGGCUAGGUGUCGGGCGAGCUUCGAGCUCGCCCGGUGCCGGAGGGAAGCCGUUAAGCCCGCCGCCUGGGGAGUACGGCCGCAAGGCUGAAACUUAAAGGAAUUGGCGGGGGAGCACUACAAGGGGUGGAGCGUGCGGUUUAAUUGGAUUCAACGCCGGGA